CGGGCGGACGGGUGAGUAACGCGUGGGUAACCUGCCUCAUACAGGGGGGUAACAGUUAGAAAUAGACUGCUAAUACCGCAUAAGACACGGUACCGCAUGGUACAGUGGUAAAAACUCCGGUGGUAUGAGAUGGACCCGCGUCUGAUUAGGUAGUUGGUGGGGUAACGGCCUACCAAGCCGACGAUCAGUAGCCGACCUGAGAGGGUGACCGGCCACAUUGGGACUGAGACACGGCCCAG
rnacentral:rRNA from 1 species